GAAUACUUUAAAAUACAGCGUUCAUGUUCAACUCAAUGACUGCAAGGUUCCUUGGUCUUGUGGCUGCAAAACAAGCCCAAAUCAUCAAACCUCCACCACUGUGCUUGACAGUUGGUAUGAGGUGUUUUUGCUUAUAUGCCUUUUGCCAAAUAUGGCGCUGUGCAUUAUGGCCAGACAUCUCCACUUUGGUCUCGUCUGUCCAAAGGACUUUGUUCCAGAAGUCCGGUGGUUUGUUCAGAUGCAACUUUGUUU